rnacentral:rRNA from 1 species
GGACUACUAGGGUUUCUAAUCCCGUUUGCUCCCCUAGCUUUCGCGCCUCAGCGUCAGAAGAGGACCAGCAGCUCGCUUUCGCCACCGGAGUUCCUUCCGAUAUCAACGCAUUUCACCGCUCCACCGGAAGUUCCAGCUGCCCCUGCCUCCCUCCAGCCAAUCAGUAUCCAAGGCACUUUUCCGGUUAAGCCGAAAGAUUUCACCCCGGACUUGAUCGACCGCCUACGCGCCCUUUAAGCCCAGUGAUUCCGAACAACGUUCGCACGGUUCGUCUUACCGCGGCGGCUGGCAC